UUUUCUUUUGGUUUUUGUGCCAAAUUUCCAUUCCCACUAACUGAAGCCCUAAUUCUUUUUCCCUCUACAGCCACAACUCGCUAGCUCUCUCUCUUUCUCUCUAUCUCUCUCUCUCUCACCCAAGCUCCGAGUCAUAUCUGCCAUUCUGCUAUCUCGACUACCGCUGAUGUCAACAGAGACCCAGAUAUAGCCAAGCACGCCCAGAAGGGUCAAAUUGUCGCAACCGGAGUUCUCUCGGAGCUUCAAAUCGUUGCCGGUUGCUUCUACAGAUUUACGAGGAUGAUAUUUGCCUCUGUAUAUUGGAUACACAUCCGCUGAGUCGUGGGUAAGACACAGGGUCACAAGAUUCAGCGUCUAACAGUUCUACUGCUGUGGGUUUUGAUGAGAGAAUGUUGCUACAUUCAGAGGUUCCCCAUGGUUUGUCCUGAGCAGAUCCUUUCUGAAAUUUUGCAUUCUUGGUUGGGAUAAUCU
rnacentral:lncRNA from 1 species